rnacentral:lncRNA from 1 species
GUAGAUAUCUGAUAGAUAGCUUUACUUUUGGGUGUCCUGUUCCGAAAACAGGAAUCAAUUCAUACAGAUCAAACACAAUACAAUGCCAUCUCUGUGCUGUUAGAAGCUUUCUCCAAUGGCUGCACAAUGAUUUGAUCAACCAAGCCAAUCUAAUUGACACCAUCUAUUUUUGAAAACAAUUAAGAGGAUGGGAAUUUUGAGAGUCAAGCAGCAGGAUGGAUGGAUAUGGAUGAUUCGCUUCCCAUUUACACGCACAUAAUGGUUGCUAGGUGAACUUAAUGCUUGCAAUCUGCUUAUUUUUGUGUUUUUUAAGCAUACUCAUGGAGAGAAAAAUUAUAUUGCAGAUAAUUUGGCCAAAUAAAAAGUUCUUGAAAAGCUAAUUUAGUUGCAUGGUUUUAUUACAGAGUUUUUAAUGUUUGAGAGAUGUUGUCAUGCAAGUAGUGUUUUGAUGGCUAGGUGACCAACCACCCUCCUCCGUCGUAGUCGCCGUCCUCGUCCUCCAAAAAAAGAAAAGAAAAUAACAUCACUCACACAUAGAUGUGCACAUGAGAUUUCAUGACAGAUACAUUCGAUAUGUACAUAUGACCAACCACCCCCGCCCUCCUCCUCCUCCUCCUCCAAAAAAAAAAAAAAAAAAAGAAGAAAAAGAGGUCUUGAUUGAGGGUUGCAGUUGUGAGAAUUAAUGGCAACCAUUUUCUUUUGCUUUCCAUCAGUCGUGCACGACAGGUGUUUGUUACAAUGACUUCAAAG